UGGGGAAUUUUGGACAAUGGGCGAAAGCCUGAUCCAGCAAUGCCGCGUGUGUGAAGAAGGCCUUCGGGUUGUAAAGCACUUUUGUCCGGAAAGAAAUCCUUGGCUCUAAUACAGUCGGGGGAUGACGGUACCGGAAGAAUAAGCACCGGCUAACUACGUGCCAGCAGCCGCGGUAAUACGUAGGGUGCAAGCGUUAAUCGGAAUUACUGGGCGUAAAGCGUGCGCAGGCGGUUUGCUAAGACCGAUGUGAAAUCCCCGGGCUCAACCUGGGAACUGCAUUGGUGACUGGCAGGCUAGAGUAUGGCAGAGGGGGGUAGAAUUCCACGUGUAGCAGUGAAAUGCGUAGAGAUGUGGAGGAAUACCGAUGGCGAAGGCAGCCCCCUGGGCCAAUACUGACGCUCAUGCACGAAAGCGUGGGGGAGCAAAACAGGAUUAGAUACCCUGGUAGUCCACGCCCUAAAACGAUGUCAACUAGUUGUUGGGGGAUUCAUUUCCUUAGUAACGUAGCUAACGCGUGAAGUUGACCGCCUGGGGAGUACGGUCGCAAGAUUAAAACUCAAAGGAAUUGACGGGGUCAUAGCUGUUUCCU
rnacentral:rRNA from 1 species